ensembl:lncRNA
AUGUCACAGCUCUGCUCUCUGGACGGAAGUUCCACUGCUCCGCAGUGCAGUCGUGGGGCAAACGUGAAGCUCUUUUCCAGUCUUAGGCCUCUCCUUUUCUUUCGCUGGAUUUCAGCAGGAGCUGAGGAACAUCUAAAAUACAGGCUGCCUAUCGCUAUUCAAUCUCGUCAUCGUAAAUUCAUUGAUGAUUCUAUGAAACCCAAUGCUCCUACCGGAAGCAGUUCUAGAAUGAACAUCAUCCUCAGUUUCUUCUUCAUUAUUAUUGUCCAUAUGAUCAUCACUGUCAGCACCCACAACGUUUGUCAAGCACCAAAUAGUGUGAGCUGUUUGCCUUGGCAUUGGAGAUGAGGUAACAGAAACUUUUAAGCUUAGAACUUAAAAAUCUGUAACAUUGGCAUUUUUUUCACAAGCAUUUUUUGACCAUCUAUCCAACUAUUUAAAAAAUAUUUAUUGCAGGCCUACUGAACUGAGAAUACAAUGUUGAAAAAGACCCAGUUUCCCACAAAUGUUCACAGCAGCAUUAUUUAUCACAGCCAAAAGGUGGAAGCAGACAAAUGUCCAUCAAUGGAUGAAUGGAUAAACAAAACGUGGUACAUAUAGUAGAAUGUUACUCAGCUAUAAAAACAAAUGAAGUGCUGAUAAUGAAUGAACCUUGAAUACAUCAUGCUAAACGAAAGAAGCCAGACACAAAAGUCCACAUAUUAUGAUUCCAUUUAUAUGAAAUAUCCAGAAUGGGUAAAUCUAUAGACAGAAAGCACAGAUCAGUGGUUGCCAAGGGCUGGAGUGGAUGGUUAUAUAGGGAGUGACUGCAUCUUGGGUACAGGAUUUUCAUAAAAAUGUUUUGGAACUAGAUACAGGUGGUGAUUGUGCAACAAUGUCAACGUAUUAAAUACCACUAAAUCAUACACUUAAAAUGGUUAAUUUUAUGUUAUGUGAAUUUCGCCUUAAUAAAAAAUUGUUUUUAAAGACCCACUUCCUAUUCCUCACAGUCCCUCACUUCCUAAGUUUCAUGUUCAAAGUCGUACGGUCACCCAAAGACUCUCUAACGUAAUGAGGGAGACAGACGACAAUUCUGUGGUGGAGCGUUAGUUGAUACCAUUGAAAGCUGUAAAGUGGAAAAGGAUAUGAAAACUAUCAAUAGACCAAAGCUACAAUGGGAUUAGCAGAGAAUGUAGGCACUGCAGUCGGAAUGCUUCUUGGCCUAGUCCUUAAUUAGCAGAGUUUGUUUUGUUUUGUUUUGUUUGGGGUUUUUUUUAGCACUACUUGGCAGCCACCAGGUUGAUGGAGGAAGAAGGAGACGCGAGGAUGAAUGUGACAGAGACUCUGCCCGCCGUCCAACCCUCCCCGCCACUGGCUUCCAAUCUCAUGGGGGAGAGACCCAUCCACAGAUAACUGAGAAAUGAGAUGGAAUGAUAAACCAUGGGAGGGAGUCACACCACCAUCUCUGGCGCCAGCCCAGGAGGAGGCAGGGAGAUGAUCUCCACCCGAGAGAAUGAAUCACUCUAUACCCAUGCAGGGCCCGAGGGCAACCGCCGAGAGCUGAAGAGGACUCCAUGCCCCAGACUUCAUCCUGAAAGCGUAUUUGAUCCCAUUACUAAAGGAGGCCAGUUAAGCACGUGGCAAGUUGUUUCCCAGUUAGAUCAACAACUUGCUGAGAAUUAAGGAUGCAUCCAAAAUGCUAGCUGAUUCUGGUCUCCUUAUUUUUCUCUCCCCGGAAGUGCCCACCUGGCUUUCCACAUCCCCUGGGACUCUACGUUGGGAGUGGAGGCACUGAGGGGAAGGGAACCCUGUAUCUGGGGUUUCACUCUGCCAGAGAGGGUCCUCGAUGCUUUCCCUGAAGUCUCUCUCGCAGGUGUCCUUUGAAAUAGGGAUUAGGACCAUCCCUCUUUUGCAGAAGAGGUCCAGAAAGGUUAAGCAACUUGCCCAAAUCACACAGCCUAUAAAGGGUAGAACCAAGAUUUGAACCAAGACCUGUGUGACGGCACAGGCUCUGCUCUGUGUGCCUCAUCCCACAGUCUCCCCAUCUGGGUAAGAAUCAGUGCAGAGGACAUCAACCUCAACCAGGGCAAGCCCUCCGACUGGAAACAUUAAAGGAAAAAUUAGUGUAAAGCUGAAAAUGUUAAGAACCAUAGUUUAAAAUAUUAUGCACAGCACAGACAUUGCCCUCCCCUGGGUGACCCAGGUCACUUCCUCGAGACCUGAGCUCACCUUUCAGCAAUAGGGGCCAGCUAUGGAAACCUGCCACUAGGGGCAGAGCUGCCACCGAUCAGAAGCCAGAGGGCAGUGGGCGGCAGGAGGGGAGCACAUUCAGCCCACAGCUGUGUCAUGUUAGGCCUUCAUACCAUUCUUUUUUAAUUUUGGAUUUUGAGGCAAAUGUUUAAAAUUCAGGAGAUUUUACAUAAAAUACAGAUUUCUGCCUUCUCUUGACAAGCCAUGCUGGACCUGAAUUCCUGAACAUUCCCAAGAGUUGGGUGGCCAUGCUUGAGCUGGGCAGCCUCCAUCAUUCACAGGAUCUCCCUGGCUCCUCUGGGUGGCUGUGACCUUGACCGCUGCCCAAAGUCAUGUCCUCAGCACCGAGCUGAGACCCGCAAGGUUUCUGAUGAAGGAGCAAAGUGUAGGCAGACCUGAGUUCCACUCCGUCAUGAUGAAAAGGCCAGAACUGGCAUUUUAAAAAUUCAUCGUCUUCUAAUAAUAAAACUCUGUAUUUACAGAGAGCCAUGCUUCUGAGAACAUCAGGCUUGUGCAAACAUCACUCCGGGAAUGUUCACAACAGAGGCUCAGGGAAGUGAGAAGGUGACUCGGACUGGGGUCUCUGCAGUUAAAAGAAACAGGCACGAAGGAAAAGUGGCCUGCUCCACGCGGGGUGGACAGCGGCCAGAGGGAUGGGUGUGUGCUCAAAGAACGAAUAUGUGCUGAGCGCCCAUGUGAACCAGGCACCAAGGAAGCCAGUCUUUGCCCUGGGGAGCCUCUGCCUGCUGAGUCCUGCGCUCGAUCCCUUAUUCCUUGACAGUAAACAGAUGGUGGUAGAGGGAGCUGCUCCUUCGAGAGCCAGAGGACAAAGUCUACCUUUGUCACUUCCUGCACAUCCACCCUUGUCUUGCACCCACCCUCUUUAUAUCAGGCUCUGAGCCUUGGCACAUUCUGGUCCUUCUGCAACUUGUCCAGCUGGCAAGGGCUGCUCAUCCUUCUGGCCUUGGCCCAGGGACCACCCACUCUGUAAAGCAAUUAUCGUAUCAUUUGAUAAUUCUUUUCCAGUCUCCCCACUGGGCCAUCUUCUCCAUGAGGGGAGGAGCACGUUUGUGGGGGGCAUCUCCGGUUCCCUGGCGUCGUGCUUCCAGGUGGAAGGGCUUCAGCCGGAACAACAUUCCUGGCCCUCCUUUCAUCCUCACUCAUUCCUUCCUUGCAGAGGAGUAAAUGGUGAGUUGAAUUGGUGAGCUUGGAGAGAGCCUGGUGCUGGUACGUUGGUCUCCAUCCUUCCUUUCUUUUUCAGGUGUCACUCCUGUGGAGGAGCUCGGUUAUCAGCUCUCAGCCUGGCAGUGAGCGUCCUGGGCAUGCUUUGCCCUGUGGGGGAGGCUGCGGUCGUUCGGCUCUGCAGUAAUGGGUUGGGUGAGUGUGGGAAACAACAGGAGGCUGCGUAUCUAAGCCCUGUCUCCAAUCCAGCUUUUACCAAUAACAAGGCUGAUAUUUUAAUCUCCAUCUGUCAGACUCUUGAAUGCAUCUCUCUAUUGGUUUUGAACUCAGAGGAUGGAACAGGAGUAUGAUUUUUCUUUCCUAGAACCAUAAUAGCAUCUCUUUUCUAGCCCCUGUGCCCAGCAUACCGCCUGGCACAGAGCGGGUGUUCCCCAUCUGUUGGAUAACGAAUUAGUCGAAGGUCUGGGGUGGGAGGCCUCUGCUUCUCCUCCCUCACUACAGGAAAAGUGCAAAGCACACCCACUGCCAUGGGCUGAUGAGUCCACGUGCUUUCCAGGCAGGAGUGGAGGCAGGGGAAGCCCCCAAUUUCAUUGGCUGAGGCUUCCUCUCUUUGAGGAGAUUACGUAUGAAAUGGAAUUAGCCUCAACUUGAAAAGCAAGGGGCAAAACCCCUAUGGAUCUUUUUAUCAGAAGAAUAGAAACAAUGCGCAUUUGAUAUAAUUUAAUUCUUUAUCAGGGAUGGAAAUUACUGUUCAAAUUUUUGUUUAAAAAACUCUCAGCUGUCUAAAAGACACAAACAUUGAACGCCUCUCAGCCAAGCUGUGGCUCUGCACACAGGACUGUGACCCGACUUCCAAGGUUCUGGCUCCCCACUUUGGUCUUCCUCCAUCAGCAGAGCUGGGAAAGGAGGUGCUGCCUGCCCGCCCGGCUGUGAGGAGAGGAGAAACCCCACGGCAGGUGUCGGCUGAGGGCUGGAGCUCAGGUGGAAACUGUAGUUGGGCAGCGGUGAUCAUUGAGGCUGUAGGACAACACAAGCCCCAGGGAAUGACAAGGUGAAAAAAUGUUUUUUAAAAAGCAUAAAAGGGAAAAUAAUAAGAGGGACACAAAAGAGAUCUCAAGACAUCUAUCGACAGGAUGGUGAAGGAGACUGUAGAAUUUUCCCCAAAAAAGUAAAUAAAAAAUGUUAAAUUAAAAAUUAAUUGACAAAGUAAGCACCCCAUCAUCAUCAGAAAUUUCUGCUGACUUGGUGCCGAAGUAGGAUUGGCUCCUAAAAUGAAAUCUUCAAGGCCACAAAACAGAUAUUUUUCUUUCCCUGUCAUUUUUUUCUGUGUGGGGGAGGGAUGAUGGAGGGUAAGAACUGGAACCCCCUAUCACGCAGGAGGGGUGCCUGCCUGGGAGGGAGGGUGGGCCAGCAUCAGGAGCAGGAGGCGCCGGGUCUGCUUGAUGGGAAAAAGAAACAAAACAAAAAGACAGGGGGCCCAUUGAUUAAAUGCAGGUCCCAUAGGAUACGCUCCCAUCUAUCCCUGUUCUUUUCGUUGCAACUCAGUGUGCUGAGAUGGGGUAGCUACUGCUUCAGGACCCAGGUUGGGAUGUUGUCUCUUCCGCUUACCCAAUUUUGAUGUUGGGCAAAUUGAUUAAUUUUGCUGUGCCUCAGUUUCCCCAUUUGUAAAGCAAGGAUAAAAGCAUUUAUUAUCUCAGAAGUUGUUGCGCAAAUUAAAUAAAACGAUAUUACAUACCCCACCUAAGAAUAUCUUAUCACCUUGUUGUGGAUCCAGAAAUUCCAUCCUUAGAAAGCUUCUCUCUCAUGCACCUCUUUGGAAAUCAGCCAUUUAGAUUGCUUCCUCGUGCUGUAGCUGCCCCAGGAAGCAAGGUCCUUCUGGGAUGGGCUGCAGCUGGCACUGGGGUGGAGAAGGCUAACAUGAUAGUCAUAACUACUUCCAUGAACUGAGCUGUUCGUCUGUUCCGGGCAGGAGUCCAUCCUCCCAACAACCUCAUGAAGCGGGUACUCUUACCUUUGCACAUAAGGAAACCAAGGCACGGAGAGGUUAAGUAACUCUCUUCAUGUCACAAAUCUAGUAAGUUUUGUCAAGUUCUGCCCUGCCUGGCAUGUGCUUUGCCUUAGUCUCUCUGUGCCCUCCUUCCCUCCUACCCUCAAUUCCAUCCUCAGCCCAGACUGGAAGGAGAGCAUAGACGAUAAGAGAGGAGCUCUGAGAGAGACUGAGAAACUGCGGUGGACUUGCCUGGGUGGCAUCCUCUUGCUAGGGCCAUGACUUUGGGCAAGUUACUUAACUGCUUUCUGCUUCUGAAGCCCCCUCUGAAAAUAGACAACAUCUCUGUAAAUUAGAGAUAUGGAUGGUGCCGCCCAGAGGGCUGUCAUGAGGAUUCAAUGAGGUAAUUAUGGAACGUGCUCACAGGGGUGACUGGUAUGUAUUAAGUAUUCAAUAGAUGUUGGCUCUUCUGAUCUGUAUUGGAUUCAUCCUCUCAGCCAGAGCAUUCCUAAAGGGAGACCGAGCAAGAAGCAGCGGGAGGAGGGAAGAGGGGGGCCAUCGGUCACCCAUGACUGCUAGUGCCCUGUAAUCAGAUCUUAGCAGACUCUUCUCUCAGAGAUGCAUGAGGGCGUUUGCUUGAAUCUGCUAAAAGAAAUAACUGGUGCUCGUGGUCACCAGAUUGAACAGCUAAUCACAGCUCUCCAUCUGUGAUUAGAAAGGACUGCCGUGAGUGGUGUGAGAACGGAGAGCUUGUUAGGCAAGAAUUGAAGGAGCAUACGCCGCUUCUAGAGGCAAAACGUGCAAUGAACAUCAGAAAUCGCUGGGUCUCAGACAUGAAUCGGGGAAUGGCUUCUGAUGUUUUUUUCCUUUUUAAAUAUCCAAAGCCUUAAAAAUGAGGACCCAGGGCACCGGAGCCUGGACCUCUGGCUGAAUUAGCUGCCACGUCUUCUGAUCACUGUCUCUCUUGCCAACAGGGAGCGGAGGCCCCCUCCCUCACCCUCACCCAGCUGCAAGGUCAAGUGGAGGGCGGGCAUCGAUGCUCCACAGGUGUGCUGUGUCUGCCUGACCAACAGCUUCCAGUGCACACACUCAUGUGUGUAAGCCUGUUCCUGCGCCCCUGCCUCUGCUGACUGGACCCCAAGGAAGGCACCUGACCCAAGGGCCAUAGUCAUCUGGCUUAGAGAGAUGGGCUGGACCAAUCAAAUUCCUUUGCUCAGCAAUUCAAACUAAGAAAGAUAGAGACGAUGCAUUUACCUGCUAGUUGCAAGAUCCCCAGCUGAAUGGUCCUGCAGUCGAGUUGGACAUGGGGAGAACUUGCCUGGAUGGAAGGGCCUGCCCAUGGCCCAACAUAAAGAAGCAGAUGAGAGGUGUGUGGCCAUGUCUGACCAAGGUGAAGGGCCAGAAUGAAGGUCCCCAGAUCCAGGGGUGUCCCCGAGGGGCUUGGCCUGAUUAUAGCUCCAUGAAGAUCUCAGGAUGGACUCUGUUUUAAUAGUGCUGGCUGAGUAGGAGCCUCUUUAUUGUGACCAGCUGAACCCAAUCCUGGUAUUUAGUAAUCUUCUACAAGAUGCCAUCUGAUUGCAGAUCUCUGACAUCAGAGCGAAUCAGCCUGGCCGCGGCUCUAGCUUGGAGUGGGGCCGACCGAUGGAACCAUGGGGCUGAUUUGUGUGGUUACCAGGCCUGUUUUCUUAGGGUGGUGGGGGAGGUAUAUGAUUCUGGGAGGAGCCUCUAAAAGAAACACUUAAGACCUACUCAUAGGUAAGUGACAAAUGCUUCUUAAUUCAGAAAUUUCCUCCUGGGGUCAGCAUAUACAUAACCAUUCAACAGAUAUUCAUUGGAUGCGGUUGACGUUCAACUCAUUGUGCUACGUGCUGAGAGUGAUCCAAAGAUAGAACAUUCAUGAAGCUGUUGUUCUAGACUUAAAAUUUUGAAAAAAAGCAUGCACUGUAGAAAUCAAGAUAAAAAGUGAUCAUUGUCAUCAAGAUGUACCAAUAAAACACCAUAGGCAUUCAGAGAAGAAACCAACCACUUCCUUCUGGAAGGAUAAUGUGAAAUGUUGAGGCCAAGGUGAUAUUUUGUCUGGCCCUUGCCCCCUUGACCGACAGGUAGCAGUUGGUGUUUAGCUGGAGAGUGAGAAGAAAAGGAAAGAAUCUAAAGUGUAGAUGCAGACUGAGGCCAGAUCUUAGGUGAUGAAAAAUAUCAAAUGUGGAAUCUGAGUUUUAUUCUGAGAGCAAUGUGAUGUUGCUGGAGGGUUUUGAACAGAACAAUGGAGGGCAGAAGUAGCCUUUAGAAAAACUACCACAGAUUGUAGGAGGGAGGGAAGCCCUAGUGAAGCGUGAGGAACUUUCCACAUCUCACCGAGUUGUGGGGAGGGCGCGCUUCCCACCCCGGGGCACAUUUACUUCUGUUCCCUCCCUGGGGUCUAAAGGAGCUUUCCCCUCACUAACAAAUUCCUUUCCUCCUCCUGACAGACCCCUGCCUCCCUCCACCGCAAAACAUUGCCAAAUGGAUUUAAUUCAAAUUCUAUGUAAUAAAAGCAUAAGGGCAAAAUAAAUGAGAAUGCUUUAAGUAACAUGCUCUGGCAUCUCAUAAAAGCCUCUUAAAUUGAUGACAUAAGAGCGCAUGGUGUAGACUCCAGAAAAAGGCGGGUUUUAUGGGAACUCUGGCAGAGCCCCAAAGUGGAGUCGCGCUGCGGUGGCUGCAGUCAUAACUCUUCCUCUUAUCACGUUUUGUGCUUGGGAUGCUGCACCCUGCACAACAAGUUUCCCUUCCCUAACCAGGGCAUAGGUUUAAAAACAAAAACCCGCAGUCGUUAGCAAUUCCAGGCAGCUCUGACCAGGCUCAUUAUACCCGGCAUCUUGGCUGCUAGAAUCCUGAGGUCUGUUUUGCAAUGAUUGUGAAAACCAGGAAUGUGAAUGAGUUAUCCCAAAGUUGAGAAAGAUCUGUUUUUGCACCAGCCUGGCAGCCCUGGGGGGCUGGUUUUGCACAGCGCUUAGCCGAAUCUGGUAUUCA